AUACCUCACAUUCCCCAGCACGGUUCCGACAGGCCCAUGAGUGGGGAGUCCUCAUGGCCUGGGAAGGUGGCCGAGAAAGUUUGAACAGCUGCAGAGCCUGCCCGUCCACUCUCUCCAGCCACAUUUGUGUGUGUGUGUGUGUGUGUGUGUGUGUGUUGUGUUUUGACCAACCUCUUAGGCUUAUGUAACACACUUGGAAGUCAAGAAGUAAGGACUCAUUACUGACAGCCUCAGAGAGGCUUGCGAAACACUUGCUGUGAAGAAAUCUUUCCAUUGAGAAAAAGUUCCCUGGUGCUCAUGCUCCCAGUGGCUCAGGCCUGGUCUGCACUCAGCGGCUGCCAGGACCUCCCGGGAGCGCCCACACACCCCACAGCCCGCCUGUCCUGGGAAUACCUCUCCAGGCCCUGAAUACCUGUCCCCCACUCCCUGCCUAGGACAACGGGGGCUGUCAGGGCCAUGGGCAGGCCCACCCCACCAACCAGACCCUACGUGGGCCCCGCCUUGGUCCCGGAGCCAAUGUCUGGCUGAUCAGGGAACAAGAGGAGCCUUCAACACCUCAAUUCUGGGACGGUUGAGGUUUUCACACCGGGCCACACCUGAGCCACUAGGAGCCGGGAGGCUCUGAUCGUCUCUCCGCCUGUCUCUCUCUGGCAUCGCCAGGGCUGACUUCAUUCCACGUCCGCGCGGAAACAGCAGGGCUAUCUCAGUGCAAUCCUGGUUUUGUAUUCAGAGCCUCCUCUGAGUGAGUGCCAGGGCGCACCGUGCAAGGAGCCUGGCUUUGCCCACUGCAAUCCCGUGCCCUCACCCUAGUCUUUUAACCUCUCACGACUCAGGUUCCUCAUCUGUGAAAUGGAGCUGUCUUCUUUGUGGGGUUAGUGGAAGCAAUAAGCGAGAAGUGUGUCCACACAGGCCCAGCCUUUCUGGGGCCUCACUGUGACCAGACACUGCGCUUUGGACUAGGGGAUGGGAUGCGACUUAGGGGAGCUGCGGCCACCUGUCUCUGGAGGCUGAAGUCUCCCUGCGGACCACCCUUCCUCAGGACCACCCUUCCUCACUUGCACGUCUCCCCUGCAGUCAGGACUCGCCUGCCCCCACGCCAGGCUCUCCCUAGUGGAUCAGGCUGUACAACCUGGUUUGUAUGAGGAAAGGCAGCCGCUGGGGCCCCAGUGCAGCAAGAGAGGGGAGGAGGAGGUGUUCAGAGGGAAGACCCCUCCCCACCCCCGUUGGCCCCUUGUCUUCAAAGGAAGGGCGUGACCUUUCUGCCCCCCAGACCCACCCUGAGGGUCACUGUGGCGGUGAAGCCUGGUGCCGGCACUUGUGCCCGCCCUCUGACUUGCAGUGUCCCGAGACAUAUUCAGGGGAGCCAGGUAUUCAAUCAGCAAGGCUCCCAACAAGAUGGGGUGGGUGGGAGAAGCACCCACAAUUCUCUAGAAGGCUUUCAGGGCAUUCUUCACUAAAGAGACACAUUGGAGUCUGGAACCCCUCCCCUAGCAGGGGGACACCUCCAAGCUGUGCUCAAAACUGGGACAGGAUAUUUGGGUUGGAGUGUUCUCCGUCUCUGCCUCUCUGUCUCUCUCUCUCCCUUUCUCUCUGUCUCUCUCUCUCUCUCCCUCUCUCCCUGUCUCUCUCUCUCUCUCUCUCUCUCACUCUCUCUUGCUCUCUCUUUCCUCCUGUCUCUCUAAAGGUCUCCUUUCCUCUAAGGGCAAAGCAGCAGCUGUCAGGUCCUUAGAGCAGGAUCCCUGGUUGGUGCAGGCCCAGGGCCAGCCCCUGGUCCCGGCCUUUCUUCCCCUGGGGGAUGAACAGUGAAUGCAGCCGCCCUGGGAGUUGGGCGACCUGCGGGGCUUGGAGGGAAGGGCAGGAGGGCCCAGGGCUGACACAGCACGCCUGGCUGGGGUGGGGGCAGUGGUGUGGGUGGCUGACCACAUUCCUGGGAUGCCGGGCUGCAGGGCUGGGCGGCUGUGUCUACACCUGUCUGCCCCUGUCGGCUGUGAGCAAUGCAGCCAGGGACAGGGCAGCUAGAGCCAUGCUGUGGUCUGGCCAGUGGGCCAGGCACGUGAGCUGGUUCAUGCCCUGCUGCACCAACAACGUUCACCUGGAGAGGUCAGUGGCCUCAUUGAGGGGAAGAAGGGCUCUGUCCCUAGAGUCUAGCAAGCCUGGGCCAUGGUCUGUGGGGCUUGUCAGGGUGACUUCACCUCUGUGAGCCUCAGUUUCCCUCCCUGGAAAGUGGAGCAUAACAUGGGUGGGGUCCCCGGUGCUGGCCUGCAGAGCCCUGGGAGACGUGUGGAGUACAAGCCCCAUACGCUAGGCCAAAAGAUCCGCAGACCAGGCAGCUUAACUGAUAGAAAUGAAAGUCCAAGAUCAAGGUGUCAGCAGGGCAGGCUCCUUCUGAGGCUGCGGGGAAGGAACUGGCCCAGGUUUCUCUCCUUGGCUUGCAGGUGGCCCAUGCCUCUCCACAUCAGCUUCCCUCCCAUGCGGCCUCUGUGCCUGAACUUCCUCUUUUAGUAGGACUGCGGUCAUAUUGGAUUAGGGCCCACCCUAAUGGCCUCCUCAGAACUUGGUGACCACUGUAAAGGCCCUAUCUCCAAAUCAGGAAAUGUUCCGGGGUCCUGGGGGUUAAGACUUCAACACAAACAUCUUGUUGGAGGGGGGUUGCAAUUCAGUCCACACCCGCUUCCCUCGUCUCACUUCGUCCAGCACUCAGCACCCUCUGGCCCUGCCCUUAGCUGUGGGUCUGGAUUUCCCAUCUCUUCCACGGUAAGCCCUGUGAGGGCGGCGUCUUUAUCCCAUUUGCUGUUACACCUGCAAUUCCUGGGGUGCCGGCUUGUUCUCAUCAUUUAGCAGACCAUUGCUGAAUGGCUAACAAAUCCAGGAUACAAUUUGUAGGUGCACCAAGCCAGGCAAGGUAUCUGCGUCACCUGCCCGUCAGUGGCCCCAGGCUGGGAAGACCCCUUGGGUCAUGCUUGGACACUCUGCACCAUGGGCAGCCAGAACUCCUGGCCGAGUGGUCAGCGGCCGCCACACCUUGCUGGAGCAGAGGCACCCCUGCCAUCCCACAGGCAAGACGGACCUAGCUCGGUUUCCCAACACUCUGUUGAGAUGGGGCUGCCCAGAAGCCCACACAAGCCCACACCUGGGGGAAUCCCAGCCCCACGUUCUGGUUCAAGUCGCUGCUGGUUUGGGUUCAGAGCCCAAACAUGAGCUCCUGCUCUUCUUGGUGUGAUCUGAGGCUGUGGAUAUCCUGAGAACAUCUGUCUCAACAGAACACCUUCCUCCAUGUUGCCUAUAUCCCAAAUUCACUCCCAAGUGGCUUUUGUCUGGCAGAUUCCGGUGGAUUAUGCAAAGAGGGACUGCCAGAGAAUCUGAGCUGUUGGAAGACUUCUGAAACGUCACUGCGGUGGCGGAGGCACUGCCCCGGGGGGACAAAAGUCUUGUCUCUUCCUCCAAAUGUGGAGGAUCAAAUUAGAGUUGACUUGUGUGUUUCCAAACCCGUUGUCGUCCCAGCAUUCAACUAAUUUGAAGAUACCAAAAGCCUCAGAAGAGGGUGGCAGAAGAAGAAAGGGACAAACACAAAAGGGGAAGGACAAGAGGGCAGACCGUUAAAAAAAAAAAAAA